GUAUGUGUAGUACCAACUUGACACUGCAAUAUUCUUGAAAAUCCUGUGGGCCCACAGGAUGGAAGCAUCAGAGCAUGGGACUGGUAUCUCAGUGGAACAUGAGACACAUGACCUGUAACAAGAAGGCUUUGUCCUCUGUGCAACAGCAGCCAGAUCAGUGAGUAACUGAAGAAGGCAACCUGCUGAUUGUAACACAGCAUGGGAAACAACAUGUUGAGAUUGCACCUGCGUCUUGUGAAAGUCACAUUGCACCUCUCAGGAGUAAUGCUGAAUCCUUAGGGUGGCACUGUGUGUACCAGCACCGAUGUUCUGCAAGGACUAGAAGAAACUUCUGAGGGAAGCACACUGGUCAAGGCUGCCACGUAUGGAACUGUGAGAUGAACACUCGAUGAAAAGAAAGUCAUCUUGCUCCUCAGUGUGACUGCAUGAAAAUCUACUGGGACAAGUUCACAUGAAUAACUGGCACAGAGGCAAGCAUGGAUCGUAAUUUUAUGUGUUCUU
ensembl:lncRNA